UACCGCAAAUAUACCGAUGACUAAAACUAACUUAGCCCUCUUAGCCCCCUCUAUUUAAACAAGGGAACAAGUUGAAUAAAACCGCUGAAAAUAAUACUGUUUGUAAAUUCUUCUUUUAGAUCCUCUUAACUUACUAAAAGCAUCAUUCUAUCUUUCACCUGAUCAGUUUGAACCUGACCCGUUGGGGUAUUGACGGAUCGAUACUGCAUUCACGAUUGCGUGCAUCGCGUGCAGCAGCUGGUACAUUAUUUAUUUAUACUACGAACGUGCGCACGAUGGUGCGACAUCAUCUUCCCUCCUGCACCAUGCUUUACCUCAUCGGCUUUGACCGGGUAAGUUUUCCUUGUUAAUCUUCUCCAUUGACUACUCUUUCUUGGUUCUUCUUCUAUUAUUUUUGUAUUCCCUCCAUCCCUAAUGGCCGAUACCCUCUCCGGCAACCACCUACUAUGCCGCGAUCCUCUUCUCUUACCCCGCCAGGUUGCCCAAUCCAAUCUCCGUCUCCGGUACCUCCCCCGCGGCUCAUUCUACUGUAGCUCCUGGUCCUCUCGGAGAUGAGGACUGUGGCUGAACUGUGGCAGCCUCUGCCUGUCCUGCUGGGGGCCAUGGCCAUGAUGCCGCUGCUAUAUCGCUGAGUCGACAAUGUGGUCCUAUAAAAGCAUUACCGAGGCGUAAUGCUUGCAACCCAACAAUACAUCGUCAUCCUUCGAUCUAGCAAUCGACAACAAGGACAUUGACUAUGGCAACCAAGAGAGGAGCUGCGCGGGCUAGACUCUAGAUAAGUUGUUGUUAGGCUUAAGGAUAUAUAUUAGAUAGUCCAUGUAUUUAGAUAGUAGAUACAAAUGUUUUCCACUUGUUUAUUUA